rnacentral:lncRNA from 1 species
GUGGUGGCGUGCGCCUGUAACCGAGCUACUACGGAGCAGUUAGUGUCGAAUGACUUGAGGUCGGGACUCCUGUCGUACGUCGACCUAUGUCGAUCGGGUGUCCACACUAAGUUGGGCGUCAAUAUGGUGAACCUAGGGGAACCUUCGUUCACCAGGUUGAAUAAAGAGGAACGCACCGGUCCAGGAUGGAAACAUAGCAGACAAAAGUUCCCGCGUCAAACAGUAGUGGGAUAGCACUUGUGAACAGGAGGCGUGCGACAGCCCGGCCAAGAUAGUUGAACCCGCUACCCUUUUUGUUUUGUUUUUUCUUGUUUCAUAGCACUUUAGCAACACGUUGAAUGAAUCUUUUCUCUAAAAUGGCUUUUUCUUUCGAAGAAAAAAAAUUAUAUUCAUUUAUUGAUGUCGGCCCAUUGAAUCCUGAAACAGUGCCCUCCUCCAGUUUUAAUAUAUUUCUCGAAUAUUAAUAACAUUGAUUGCGAAUGCUUUUCCUUGAUUCUGGCAGCUACUUUGUAACACCACAUCUUUCUUAGCUUAAAGCAGCAGUAUUUCCGCUGCUAGAAGUAAAAAAUAUACAGUUUUUGUGGCAAAUUUGUUGAAAUUUGUUGUGAUAACGCUACUUUCACUAGUCCUUCUUUUGCUAGUAAAGAUGAGCAGUCACAGUAUGGUAAGAGUGUUGUGAAGCGGUAAGAACAAAUUAAUGAGAUUUGGAUUCUUAUUGUGUAUGUGUUUGAAGCAGCAAUUUUGGUGUUCGGGGUGUCAUUUGUAAAAUCUGUAGACAAGCAAAUUUCAUUUAAGCAGGCUCCCUGCAAUUUCCAAUAUAUGUCAGUGUUUUAAAUUAGAAGCUAUAUAUUUGAGUCUAAAAAAUUAAUUUUUUGCUGCACAAGCCACUGUUUCCUCUUAUAUAAAAGAGUAAUUUUAACCCAUCCACAAUCGCUACUCUUCACGUUACCAUGACAACAUGACGUCACCAUCUAUAUGGCCAAAAUCAACCAAAAAAGCCGUCUUAGCGAGCAAAUAACCACGGUGACCUCGGUGAUAAAAAAAAACUGCAUAUAUAGCGUCAUAUACAUACGUCUUAAAUGCUGAUUAAACAACUUCAUUGCUAAGAAUUCGAACGGGUGAAGAUAAAUAGAGAAUAUAAUACAUGGAUUCUUGGAAAUGCCAGAUUUAUUUCGAGUACACUGUACACAACAUUAAAAACCAAUAAAACGUCCGUGGCAAUGCGUUUUACAACAAAUGAUAUUUUCACACGUAAAAAUAUCGUAUUUUUACGUGUGUUUAAAUACGAUUUUUCUCAGUGGCCAAAAGCUCUAUCUAAAUUCGUUUAUGUGAGGCUGUUAGACUGUAAUUUAUGGUACUGAUGGCGGUAGUACUCAACUAAUUAUGGGUUUAUAAAAUGUUCCGCCGUCCAUCGCAGGUGUUUCGCCGUCCGCAUUUUAUCAAUCGCGCAUGUUGGCUGCCUUUAAAUACAAUAAAUUUUAGUGAAGUGAUUGCUGGGCGUGGUGGCGUGCGCCUGUAACCGAGCUACUACGGAGCAGGUAGUGUCGAAUGACUUGAGGUCGGGACUCCUGUCGUACGUCGACCUAUGUCGAUCGGGUGUCCACACUAAGUUGGGCGUCAAUAUGGUGAACCUAGGGGAACCUUCGUCCACCAGGUUGAAUAAAGAGGAACGUACCGGUCCAGGAUGGAAACAUAGCAGACAAAAGUUCCCGCGUCAAACAGUAGUGGGAUAGCACUUGUGAAUAGGAGGCGUGCGACAGCCCGGCCAAGAUAGUUGAACGCGCUAC